GAUGAACGCUGGCGGCGUGCCUAAUACAUGCAAGUCGAGCGAACAGACGAGGAGCUUGCUCCUCUGACGUUAGCGGCGGACGGGUGAGUAACACGUGGAUAACCUACCUAUAAGACUGGGAUAACUUCGGGAAACCGGAGCUAAUACCGGAGAAUAUAGUGAACCGCAUGGUUCAAUAGUGAAAGACGGUUUUGCUGUCACUUAUAGAUGGAUCCGCGCCGCAUUAGCUAGUUGGUAAGGUAACGGCUUACCAAGGCAACGAUGCGUAGCCGACCUGAGAGGGUGAUCGGCCACACUGGAACUGAGACACGGUCCAGACUCCUACGGGAGGCAGCAGUAGGGAAUCUUCCGCAAUGGGCGAAAGCCUGACGGAGCAACGCCGCGUGAGUGAUGAAGGUCUUCGGAUCGUAAAACUCUGUUAUUAGGGAAGAACAAAUGUGUAAGUAACUAUGCACGUCUUGACGGUACCUAAGCAGAAAGCCACGGCUAACUACGU
rnacentral:rRNA from 1 species